UGGUUUUGCUUUGCUUAAUCAUUACUAGGUGGUUUGGGAACUGGGGGUGGGGGGGUGCAACUCCUCCCUAUCUCUCGCUCAUUGCAGGACUGUGCAGCUCUUUGAGAAGUUUCUAACAUCCUUGGCAGAAGGGUGAACUUCCAGCCCUUCAUUUCUAGGAGUGCUCUCCGCCCUUAAGUGGUAGAUAGGUGGAUUUGAAAGGAGUACUGUCAUUUCCCCCGCCACUUCGACCGUAAACUGUCUUUCCCUUAGAAAGGAAGUAGCGGAGAUAGGGGAGUGGAAGGACAGAAGGUUGCUAGCUACUGUCCUUCCUUGGACUCAGUUGACUCCCCUGAGAGGAAGGUGGCUGAGCGCUUGGCUGGAGUUAUUUGUAAAUAAUAGUGACCGCACAGCACCCUGUUUAUAUGGGCAAGAAAAUUACUGAGGAGGUGGGGAUAAGAGAGAAUAGAAAACUACUACUUCUGCUCCCCUACUCCCUUUCCCUUCUCCCACCCUGCUACCCCUCACCCUCCACACAAAUAUAUAUGCAUGUAUAUAUAUAUAUAUAUAUAUAUAGGUAUGUAUGUCUAUAUACAUAUAUAUGAACUUUCAACUUCCCUGGGAGCUCUUAAACACUUCACUGGUGUAGUUCUCACACGACGUGUGAAGGUGUGGAUUAACAAAGUUCAAUUUCCCAGACAGAAUGCGGAGGGUGAGAAUUUGGCACUGGGGACCCUCUGAAAUAGCUGCUCUCCAAAUACUUGAAGGAGAAAAAUGGACGACCUAAAAAUUAGUCCUUACUUCCUGAUUGAGUAUAAACCCAUCAGCAUCUUUAAUGGCCUUUGCUGCAGAUGGAUUGAGCCAGCCCUUAGUUCAAUCGCGGGGAGACUGGAGCCUGAGGAGCAGCAGCAGCCCCAGCGGCAGCCGCAGUAGCAGUCUUGGUAUUGAGCAAGUGUCUCAGUGCCCCCACCCCCUGAAGCCAAUACACCUCCUUAGAAAGGGCCACUGGGGGAAGCAAAUCCACCAGCCAGAGGCGGCGAAGCAGCAUGGACAGGAAAACCAGGAACGACACAAACUAAAAAGGGGAUCAGACUCAACCGUUUGUUUCAAAAAACCAAAACACCUAAGGGACAGUAAAAUGAGCUUUCCUUCUUUCUGACCUGGGAAGAGCAUGAUGCUUCUCCAUUUCACAUCACCUUCUUACCUUCCCCCUUUCCCCCCCCCAAGAAAAAAUAACUCAAGUAGAAAAGGAAUAAAGAAAUAAAAUCACAGCUACGGAUAUACCCAAGUAUAUUCUCUUCUUUCUUGUCCUAUCUCCCCCCGUCCUUCCUCCCAUCCACCACCACCCCACCUUCCCUCUUCCAGUAAAGCCCAAGAGAGGAAUGUUGGGGGAUCUUGGGCUGUUGUUGAUGGUAGUUUACUAUUUGCCUUACUCCGCUGUAACAAAGCAAGUCUCAGUAGCAUUGUGCCUGAAGAGGAGAUCCUGUGACAAAGGCGCGCCCUGGCUACAGUUUUGCCAUCUUAUUCAAAGUCUGGACUAAUAAAUCCAGGGAAGGGGGGCUUUUCAGCCCUGAAGAUGCGAUUUG